UCUGGUGGUUCUACUGAAGAGGUCACACCUGAUCCCAUCUCGAACUCAGCAGUUAAGCUCUUUAAGGCUGAUGGUAGUAGUCCGUUAGGACUGUGAGAGUAAGUCAUCGCCAGAA
rnacentral:rRNA from 1 species